rnacentral:rRNA from 1 species
GACGAACGCUGGCGGCGUGCUUAACACAUGCAAGUCGAGCGGUAAGGCCCUUUCGGGGGUACACGAGCGGCGAACGGGUGAGUAACACGUGGGUGACCUGCCCUCAGCUCUGGGAUAAGCCUGGGAAACCGGGUCUAAUACCGGAUAUGACUCCAUGACGCAUGUUGUGGGGUGGAAAGCCUUGUGCGGCUGAGGAUGGGCCCGCGGCCUACCAGCUUGUUGGUGGGGUGANGGCCUACCGAGGCGACGACGGGUAGCCGGCCUGAGAGGGCGACCGGCUACACUGGGACUGAGACACGGCCCAGACUCCUACGGGAGGCAGCAGUGGGGAAUCUUGCGCAAUGGGCGAAAGCCUGACGCAGCGACGCCGCGUGAGGGAUGAC